ensembl:lncRNA
GUACAUGUGUCUGUAUGUUUGUCCUUUCUUCAUUUCCUCGCUGACCCUAGCCAGGGUUCAGGAACCCAAAUCAAAUGGGCUGUGGCAUGCCUACAUGUGUAGGGGAAUGCUGUAGCCAUGCCUGUUUAGGGGCUGGCUACAGGUAUGACUGACCAUGCCUACCAGGGCAUGGUCAGGGUGACAGAGGAAAGGUUAAGAGUGAGGGAUGCUCAUGUGGUGGGUCUUCUUUCGUUUUCAUCUUCGGCUUGCUGUACUUACUGCUGCCCUGCUGGCUGGCUAGGUUGCUAUAUAAGUAAGGCUUUUCCCUAUUAAAUUCCCUCAUAUUUUUACCUGACUCAUAUUGGUAAUUUCUCACAUUAUCUGGUUGUCAGAAGCGGGAUCUUGUAGACCUAGGUCCAGUUUUAGAGAGCCUGCGUGUCCCACCAGGAGGGCAGACUAGGCUGGGAAAGCACUCCCUCUCUCCACAGGUGCUCCUGGCUCACAGCUGAUCCACCCUGCCACACAAGCAUGUUCCGCUGCCACUGAGCCUCUCUGAACAGUCCACCCAACUGGGAGAGUUUUCCAGACCUCCCAUGGUUUUACCACCACAGUUUCUAGCUGCAGGCACCAGACCAGCCUAGAUUGCAGCCUACCUGCACUCAGAGGCCUCCAGCCCUUGAGCCAAGUAGGCCUCGGGAGUAGGCCUUGGGAGUAGGCCUCAGCUUUCAGCAUGGCCUGCAGCUUCCCCUGGCAGCAGCAGCCGUAAGGCCGUGCCUCUUUCAGUGGUUGCGGCCACAAGGCCAUAUAGUCUCUAAGCUAAGUGCAGCCGCCUGUGUGACCUCAGCUCCAACCCUGCCACCAUCUUGCCUGACUGACUGCUGCAAAAUGCCGCAUGGACUAGGUGAACGCCUACACCACCUGCUGAUCAAUUAUAGUUACUGCAUCUGGAGUAGAAAUCAGAUUCCUGUGUUCCUGAGAGGUGAGCAAGCGCCUGCUUCAUAUUCCUGUCAUGGGGCCACCUGCUACCACCCCCCCCACGAUUGACUGUAUCCUAAAAACUGCGAGCCAAACAAGCCCUUCCUCCCAUGAGAUGCUUCUAAUCAGGUGCUACCACACCCAGAUCGGGUAGUGCUGGAGACCAAACUUGGGGUUCCGUAGAUGCCUACAGGGAAUUUUGGGAGUAAUUGUUAUCCGCAUCGGCCUUCAAUUAGGACAGCCAAUCAUCUCAGUUUUCCCAGGACUAAGGAAUCUGUUGUGAUUACCUAGACUGUACGAGACAGAGUAGAGCACUCUUUUGAGCAUGUCUGAGGGCAUUUCAGAGACCACCUGAUAGGGAAGGCUGUGAUUCAGCCCAUAGUCUGGUCCUCAGAUAAGACUCAGAAUUUGGUCGGCAGCAAUGGCGCAUGCCUUUAAUCCCAGAGCUCAUGAGACACAGGCAGGCAGAUCUCUGUGAGUUCGAGGCCAGCCUGGUCUGCAGAGGGAGUUCCAGGACAGUCAAGCCUACACAGAGAAACCCUGUACCGACAAUCAAAAAACAAAACAAAACAAAGACUCGUAAUUUUGAACGUACUAUCAAGACACAGUAGGACUGUGGAGCUGGAGUCUCGUUGGAGCGGUUGCCACAAGCCUGCCUUGGAGGGUGUACCGUGCUGGGGCCCCUUCCCCUCUGCUUCUCUACUGCUGCAAGGAUGCCAUGUUGGAGGCCAGAAGCACAACUGAAGGACAGAAGGGACCAAACAAUGGACGAGGAGGAAACAGCUGGGGGUUCUGGGGAUGGAACUCAGAGCCUUAAACAUGCCCCACCUCUGACCUACAGCCCGAGUUCCUGGUUCCAUACCGACUGAAUCGCUUCAAUUUAACUAUGCAGAGUUCUCUCACCCAGGAGCCCUUGGAGCAAAGAUCACAGAUGACCCUUGGAUGUAGAAGGAUGUGGGGAAUCUCAGCAGGGUUUACCUGACCAUGCUAGGUUCCCAGUGAUGUGAACAGCCUCUACCACACACUCCUACCAUGAAUAGAACUGCUCUGCUCUGCUUUCCUUGAUGCAAUGGGCUGAAACUCUGAUAACCAUGAGCUAAAAGAGCUCCUUCCCUCCUUAAGGUCCUUCAUCCCAUUGGGCAUUCUGUUGAAGUAAUGCCAAAUAACUAAUGGACUGUGGAAUGCAAAUUACACCACGGAGCUGUUUCUACCUUGAGGCAAGAAGAUUGUCCUCUGUAAUUCCUUAACUGUCAGUCAUAAGCCUAGAGACAGAAGCAUCCCCUAUUCAGAGGCUCUCCUCAGCCAAUUCUAGUAAGCCAAGGUCACAGGUUUAAGCUGCUAGCCACAUGCUGGACAUUGUUGUGGGCAGUGGGAGUAGGAGUAAGAGAAGGAAGGAAUGCACCAGCUGAUACAGGAUUGGAAUGGGGCAUCAAAGCAUCCUCUACUGCAUCCGUCCGACCCAUGCUUUCUUUCAACAGACAUACAUCUGGAACUUUUCUCAGGACCACUGGGGAAUAACCUCUUCUUGUGUUUAUUGGGGACCUAGAAGGAUACUCAUUGGCCUGUGCAGUAUCCACAUGGGAAGAGCUAAGUGAGAAAGCAAGACUAAUAAAGAGAGGCAGAGACCCAGGGACGUUGUUUGAACCAGAGAAGAGCUGAACAAAUAGUCAAGCGGCCUUGGCUGCUGGUGGUAUCUAAAUACUGUGAAAACUGGUGAAUCAUAGCAAUACUGAUAUUUAAAAUGAGAGCCAUAGCAAAAACACUCUUGGAAGAUGCUGGGAGAUCAGACAAGCAACCGGCAAAAUUGAAGAAAAGGUUUUGUGUUUGUGUCAGUUCUAUUCUAUGUAACUUACUUGGGGGAAUGGUAGCAUAUUCCCCAAUGUCACAUUCACUGUUUUUCUCCAUCUCCUAGGACUGUGAAAUAGGCAUGUUCAUUUACAUCUUUUCCUAGAACAGUCUGACCCUUCUUGCAUACCACAUGAUGCUACCUCCCAUGAUCACAGUGAAUCAGAAACAGCAGAAGCCAAUCUAAAAGCAGCCAAAUCUUUUGAUCAUCUAAAAACCCAUUAGUGGUAUCUGAUGGGCAUUUAAAUAAGAAGCCACAGGGCACAGGCUCUAAGCAGCACAGGCACAAGCCAACACCAUAGCCUGUAGGUAGCUAAAAUAACAGUAGUGAAGCACCUUGGGAACCUGACUAUAUAGGUCUUCACAGAGAAACAGGUUAAUGACACAAAUGCCAAAAAUAAGCAGAACCCAAGAAAUGCAGCUUCAUAUGAACUAGAGGGAUAGCCUCACACUUUGAAUUGAAACUUCAAAUUAUGAAAGGGGUCUCACUGAGUAUUCUGAGAUGGCUUUGAACUUCCUAUGCUACUGUCUGAGCCUCUCAAGUGUUGGG